AUGAAAGCCCCUUCGGGGGUGCAUGAAGUGGCGAAAGGGCUAGGAAUACAUUCCUACGUGCCUUGAGGUCGAGGAUAGCCCCGGGAAACUGGGAGUAAUACUCGAUGAUGUCUUCGGACCAAAGCCUUCGGGCGCCUUUAGAGCGGGGAAUGUCCUAUCAGGUUGUUGGUGAGGUAACGGCUCACCAAGCCUAAGACGGGUAGCGGGUGUGAGAGCAUGACCCGCAGCAUCGGGACUGAGACACUGCCCGGACUCCUACGGGAGGCUGCAGUAACGAAUAUUCCGCAAUGCGCGAAAGCGUGACGGAGCAAUGCCGCGUGUGGGAUGAAGCUUCUCGGAGUGUAAACCACUGUCAGGAUUCAGGAACACAAUGACCAGAUCCAAAGGAAGGGCCGGCUAACUUCGUGCCAGCAGCCGCGGUAAUACGAAGGGCCCGAGCGUUAAUCAGAAUCACUGGGCUUAAAGCGUGUGUAGGCGGACAUGAAGGCGCUUUGUGAAAUCCCUCGGCUCAACCGAGGAACUGCAGGGCGAACCGUGUGUCUUGAGACAGGUAGGGGUCGUCGGAACGGUAGGUGGAGUGGUGAAAUGCGUUGAUAUCUACCGGAACGCCGAAGGAGAAGUCAGGCGACUGGGCCUGUUCUGACGCUGAGACACGAAAGCGUGGGGAGCGAACGGGAUUAGAUACCCCGGUAGUCCACGCCGUAAACGAUGUGCACUAGGUUGGGGAGGUUUUGACGCCGUUCCCGNCCGAAGCAAAAG
rnacentral:rRNA from 1 species